UACGUAGGGUGCAAGCGUUGUCCGGAAUUAUUGGGCGUAAAGAGCUCGUAGGCGGUUUGUCGCGUCUGCUGUGAAAACUCGGGGCUUAACUCCGGGCCUGCAGUGGGUACGGGCAGACUAGAGUGCGGUAGGGGAGACUGGAAUUCCUGGUGUAGCGGUGAAAUGCGCAGAUAUCAGGAGGAACACCGGUGGCGAAGGCGGGUCUCUGGACAGUUCCUGACGCUGAGGCACGAAGGCCAGGGGAGCAAACGGGG
rnacentral:rRNA from 1 species